rnacentral:rRNA from 1 species
UACGGAGGAUGCGAGCGUUAUCCGGAUUUAUUGGGUUUAAAGGGUGCGCAGGCGGUCUGUUAAGUCAGCGGUCAAAGCCCGGGGCUCAACCCCGGGACUGCAUUGGGAACUGCCCCGCUCGAGUGCCGGAGGGGCAGGCGGAAUUCCUAGUGUAGCGGUGAAAUGCGUAGAUAUUAGGAGGAACACCAGUGGCGAAGGCGGCCUGCUGGACGGUGUACUGACGCUGAGGCUCGAAAGCGUGGGGAGCAAACAGG